UCCGUCGUGGUGUAGUGGCUAGCAUUUGAGACUCUCAACCCCAAAGCGGGUGAAGUACUCUCAGAACCCGGGUUCAAUUCCCGGCGACGGAA